rnacentral:rRNA from 1 species
GGAAUGGAUCAAGCCCAAGCCUUGUUCUUCUUGCAAUGGAUCGGCGCCCACCGGACCCAAAUCGGCGCCCACCGGACCCAAAUCGGCGCCCACCGGACCCAAUUGACUGAAUUUUUUGAUCUUUACUUUGGAGAUGCUGCUGUCAUAUGCAGCAACAUUGGUCGCAACUAUCUGAAGAGUGCCUACCGGUUUGUCAUUGAUACAUUCAAUCGAGGGUAUUGCUGGCAUGGAUCAUUUUCUGUACGCAAUUUCCUGGUCGCUGGUGAAUUAUUUAUGAUGGGCAUACCUGCACUCCACAAGACUCUUGGUUUUCAUGACCUCCUUAUUGAUCUUAGAGCCUUGAGAAAUGCUUUGCUGCCAUACUACUGUGAAGGAAACCAACCUGGAAACGUGUCUGCACUAUUCACAGACCAUCUUCAUU